GGGGAUUUAGCUCAGUUGGCUAGAGCGCUACAAUGGCAUUGUAGAGGUCACGGGUUCGACUCCCGUAGUCUCCA
rnacentral:tRNA from 1 species